rnacentral:rRNA from 1 species
AGCGAACGCUGGCGGCAGGCCUAACACAUGCAAGUCGAACGAAGUCUUCGGACUUAGUGGCGGACGGGUGAGUAACACGUGGGAACGUGCCUUUAGGUUCGGAAUAACUCAGGGAAACUUGUGCUAAUACCGAAUGUGCCCUUCGGGGGAAAGAUUUAUCGCCUUUAGAGCGGCCCGCGUCUGAUUAGCUAGUUGGUGAGGUAAAGGCUCACCAAGGCGACGAUCAGUAGCUGGUCUGAGAGGAUGAUCAGCCACAUUGGGACUGAGACACGGCCGAAACUCCUACGGGAGGCAGCAGUGGGGAAUCUUGCGCGAUGGGCGAAAGCCUGACGCAGCCAUGCCGCGUGAAUGAUGAAGGUCUUAGGAUUGUAAAAUUCUUUCACCGGGGACGAUAAUGACGGUACCCGGAGAAGAAGCCCCGGCUAACUUCGUGCCAGCCGCCGCAGUAACAC